rnacentral:tRNA from 1 species
GCUAACGUAGUUUACUAAAAAUAUGACUCUGAAGAAGUUAAGACAGACCCUGAGAAGGCCUCGUAAGCA